rnacentral:rRNA from 1 species
UGGGGAAUAUUGCACAAUGGGCGCAAGCCUGAUGCAGCGACGCCGCGUGAGGGAUGACGGCCUUCGGGUUGUAAACCUCUUUCACCAGGGACGAAGCGAAAGUGACGGUACCUGGAGAAGAAGCACCGGCCAACUACGUGCCAGCAGCCGCGGUAAUACGUAGGGUGCGAGCGUUGUCCGGAAUUACUGGGCGUAAAGAGUUCGUAGGCGGUUUGUCGCGUCGUUCGUGAAAACUUGGGGCUUAACUCCAAGCGUGCGGGCGAUACGGGCAGACUUGAGUACUACAGGGGAGACUGGAAUUCCUGGUGUAGCGGUGAAAUGCGCAGAUAUCAGGAGGAACACCGGUGGCGAAGGCGGGUCUCUGGGUAGUAACUGACGCUGAGGAACGAAAGCGUGGGUAGCGAACAG